rnacentral:rRNA from 1 species
AGUGAUUUCCGUAGGUGAACUUGGGGAAGGAUCAUUACCGUGGGGAUCUCGCGAUCCCUACCGAGAUAGAACCCUUGUCUUUGCAGUACCCUCCGUUUCCUCGGCAGGUCCGCCUGCCAACGGGGACAACCAAAAACUCUUGUUUGUAACAGCAGUAACCGUCUAAAAACAUAAUUAAAUUUAAAACUUUCAACAACGGAUCUCUUGGUUCUGGCAUCGAUGAAGAACGCAGCGAAAUGCGAUAAGUAGUGUGAAUUGCAGAAUUCAGUGAAUCAUCGAAUCUUUGAACGCACAUUGCGCCCUUUGGUAUUCCUUAGGGCAUGCCUGUUCGAGCGUCAUUUAACCCUUCAAGCAUUGCUUGGUGUUGGGCGCUUGUCCCGCCUCGGGCGCGGACUCGCCUUAAAAACAUUGGCGGCCUGUGUAUUGGCUUCGAGCGCAGGAGAUUCGCGCCUUCGACCCAGCACAUUGGCAUUCCAGCAAGCUCUUUCACCCAAUUUUGACCUCGGAUCAGGUGGGGAUACCCGCUGAACUUAAGCAUAUCAAUAAGCGGAGGAAAG